AUUGAACGCUGGCGGCAGGCCUAACACAUGCAAGUCGAGCGGAUGAAGGGAGCUUGCUCCUGGAUUCAGCGGCGGACGGGUGAGUAAUGCCUAGGAAUCUGCCUGGUAGUGGGGGAUAACGUCCGGAAACGGGCGCUAAUACCGCAUACGUCCUGAGGGAGGAAGUGGGGGAUCUUCGGACCUCACGCUAUCAGAUGAGCCUAGGUCGGAUUAGCUAGUUGGUGGGGUAAAGGCCUACCAAGGCGACGAUCCGUAACUGGUCUGAGAGGAUGAUCAGUCACACUGGAACUGAGACACGGUCCAGACUCCUACGGGAGGCAGCAGUGGGGAAUAUUGGACAAUGGGCGGAAGCCUGAUCCAGCCAUGCCGCGUGUGUGAAGAAGGUCUUCGGAUUGUAAAGCACUUUAAGUUGGGAGGAAGGGCAGUAAGUUAAUACCUUGCUGUUUUGACGUUACCAACAGAAUAAGCACCGGCUAACUUCGUG
rnacentral:rRNA from 1 species